UCCAUCCUGCCAUGAGAGAGGAAGACAGCCGAGACAGGAUGAGACUCUGAAGACGACCACCGCUCUCAAGGCAGGAUGGAGAUGUGGCUCAAAAGCGCAAUUGUUGCGUUGCUAACAGGUAAG